rnacentral:lncRNA from 1 species
GAGGAAGAAGAAAAUUGAGAUCAUUUGUACAAAUCUUGAAACCAAAGCACAGCCUGUAUGAACCCAUGUUGAACCCUGGACUUUCAGGACUACUGUAUGGCUAACCACAGCCCUGCAAGGCCAGGCUCAGCAUGUCACAGUUUUGCCACUGAACAAGAAUCUUUCGAAGGAUCGCAAAUACUACAUGGAAAAUGACUGUAUUCUUUCUGCAAGGCCACUCUCUUAGACAUCACCCUAACAAAAACAAUUACGGGUUGGAAGAGGAGA